UACGGAAGGUCCAAGCGUUAAUCGGAAUUACUGGGCGUAAAGCGCGCGUAGGUGGUUUAUUAAGUUGGAUGUGAAAUCCCCGGGCUCAACCUGGGAACUGCAUUCCAAACUGUCAAACUAGAGUGUGGUAGAGGUGAAUGGAAUUCCGAGUGUAGCGGUGAAAUGCGUAGAUAUCGAGAAGAACAUCAGUGGCGAAGGCGGCUCUCUGGCUAGUAACUGACACUCAUGUGCGAAAGCGUGGGUAGCGAACAGG
rnacentral:rRNA from 1 species